rnacentral:rRNA from 1 species
AGCGAACGCUGGCGGCAGGCCUAACACAUGCAAGUCGAACGCACCUUCGGGUGAGUGGCGGACGGGUGAGUAACACGUGGGAACGUACCUUUUGGUUCGGAAUAACGCAGGGAAACUUGCGCUAAUACCGAAUGUGCCCUUCGGGGGAAAGAUUUAUCGCCAUUAGAGCGGCCCGCGUUAGAUUAGCUAGUUGGUGAGGU